AUGAUGAAAGUGUCAACUUUAGGAGUUAGUGAUCCCACUAUUCCGAAUGAGAAGAAUUUUGCUUAUGUGGAGAGUAUAAAAAUUCCUAUGCUUGUAGAUCAUGAAAAUAAUGAUUUAUGUGAUGGUUAUAUUGUUGAAUUCAUUCAUGAUGCUACUGAAAAUUAUUAUGAGGGAGUAAUUUAUGCUUGUAGGAGUUGCAAUAAUACCAAGUUUCCUCUCUAUGCGCUUAAAGUUCCGAAGUUAUACUUGUUUUGCCUUCCUAUGCUAGUUGAUUAUUGUUCCCUUAAAUUAUGUGCUAAAAAAAUCCCUACGCAUAGGAAGUGGGUUAGAUUUAAAUGUGAUAGUCAUAUUCUUCAUGAUGCUCUCUCUAUGUUUCAAUUCUUUUCUUUUAUGUGA
rnacentral:rRNA from 1 species